GGCAUAAAACGUCCGUCCACUCCUCUCCAUCAACCACCAGAUAAAGUCCCAGCAAGUUAAAGAGACUGCAUGUAUCUCAGAUCUAUCUCCUCCUUCUCUCUUGCCCUGCACACACCUUGCUUCUGGCUCUUUCUGUAUCUUUGCGCACUUGUUUCUUCUGCGGGGAGAGCUCCAUGCCCUUCUCCUGCCCAGAACACUCCCGUUGAGUCUUUCGUGCUCUGCUCAUGGGUCUGUGAAGGUUACACACUGCCUCAGUGGGAGACAGAGUGAUUCAGAGAAAGGGACCAGGGCGCAGGGAAGGGAAAGUGAGAAAGGAUCUCAGUGGCUCUAAAGCUGGUUGCUGAGAGUGUGGUCUGGCAGCUGGCUCUCCCUCAGACAGGGGUGUAGUAUGUUUCUGCUCUGAAGGGCAGUGUCAAAGGGGAGCCCAGGAAAAACAGCCGGCUGCUUGCCGAAGGGAAAUCCCCGGACCAACAGAGAAGAAAAACAAACAAGCAAAUGCAAAAUACCCCGGCUUCUCGGCUGCUCAUUCCCCGGUGGGAAAGCUGGACUGUUGACAGUGGAAACCACAGCGGGGGAGGGGCAGAGCUCCUGCAGCUCUCAGGGCACAGGGAGGCUGCCAUGUCUCAGGACCCCAGUCCUUGAGCCCACCUUGGAGAGUAUCAGGGAGAGGCAGCCUCUCCCUGACCAGGAUUUCCUACUCCAAGCACUUGUUUCACCCCCAAGGCCUUUGCAGCAGGAGGAUGGAGCUUCUCUCCAGUGUCCUGUAGGAGGGAGCUUGUGUUCAGAAGGGCAGCUUAUGACCAGGGAGUCAAGAGCAGGCCCUGAAAUAAACCAGACCACAUCUGAUCCCGGACCCAACCAAAACCGAAACCCAAAAUGAAAACAAAAGAAAACCAGUCCUCAUCCCACAAACCGGAAGCAAAAGCUCUCUGGACAUCGGGACUUAAUCAUUCCAGGACUGACAUUUGGAGAAAUACGCUUCGCCACUACUGAUCCUCAAGAUAAUUCUUCUUUGCUUUAUGUUCCCACCUCAUUGAGCCAGCCUCCAAUCCUAGAGGAGGAGAAGAGAUGAAGUGCUAAAAAUAGUUAAUUCUCACAUCUGAGAGUAAUUGUCAUGUAGCCUCUUGCCCCUCGGAGUGCGGUCUGGGAACCAGGGGCACUGACAUCACCUGGGAGCAAACCUGCACGCACAAUCCCAUUCCAGGUGUACUGAAUUGGAACCUACAGUUUGGCAACAUGCCCGGGUGACUCAUAGGCACAUUGAAUUCUGGAUGAAGAUGGAGGGCGCUUGGUAGUAGGCAGUUACCUCAGUAAUUCUGAUUUGGCGUGUCUGUGAGGAGGCCCAGGGAUGCACAUUUUAAAAUAUCACCUCCAGAAGAUUCUGAUGCAGCUAGUGUGCGGACCCCUAUUAAGAAACGUUGAUUUGAUCGAAGAGCUUCUACAGCUCAAGUGACCUGCUUAUAAGGUAAAAGGGCAGCACUGUGGUAACAUUUAGUUUCCCAGAGGCAUUUCUGCAAGGCAGGUCCUUAACAAUCACCUUCAUCGUAAG